rnacentral:rRNA from 1 species
UACGUAGGGUGCAAGCGUUGUCCGGAAUUAUUGGGCGUAAAGAGCUCGUAGGCGGUCUGUCGCGUCGGAUGUGAAAACCCAGGGCUCAACCCUGGGCCUGCAUUCGAUACGGGCAGACUAGAGUUCGGUAGGGGAGACUGGAAUUCCUGGUGUAGCGGUGAAAUGCGCAGAUAUCAGGAGGAACACCGGUGGCGAAGGCGGGUCUCUGGGCCGGAACUGACGCUGAGGAGCGAAAGCGUGGGGAGCAAACAGG